AUGGCAGACUCGAGGAACAAGUUUGCACAACCGGAUGAAGACACACCCUUUGGACAACACUUGAAGGAAGUCACUAGGUACCUGAACAUCAGAAUACCAAGCUUCACCAGGACCUACACCGCCACUUUACCAGAAGAGGAGCACUGGAUGAUUCGAGUACAAGUUCCAGGAAGGACAUUCACGCCAGUUACCGAGCCCAUAGAGUUUUCCUUCCCUAUAGCCAAUAUCACUUGGGAUCAGUUUCAGCAAGCAUUCCGCAUAGCCCAUGUCUCAACUGGAGCUAUGAGCAUGAAGAAGUGUGAGUUUCGCAACUUGCGCCAAGGAAAUCGUACUGUGGCUCAGUACGUAGAUGAUUUUAGCAAGCUAUCCCGGUAUGCCCCUGAUGAUGUUGCCACAAAUGCCGCUAAACAGGAGAAGUUUAUGGAAGGGCUGAAUGAUGAGAUGAGCAUGCAGUUGAUGGUGGCAACGUUUAACAACUACUAG
rnacentral:rRNA from 1 species